rnacentral:lncRNA from 1 species
CAGGGAGCAAUUUCCUCUUCCAGGCCUUCCAGGCUGGGAGGAAGCUGUGUACCGGAACUGGGCAGAGCUGCAGGCAUGAAAGAAGGGCCUGGGAGGGAAGAGAAGAAUAUACAACCCAGCCUCUUGUCUUAGGCGGCUCGGGCUGCUGCAAUAAAAAACCCCAGACUGGGUGACUUCAACAACAGAAAUUUAUUUGUUCACAUUUCCGGAGGCUGGAAGUCCAAAAUCAAGGUCCAGCAGGGCUCAGCCUCUGGGGAGCUUUCUCUUCCAGGCUUGCAGAUAGUUGCUUUGUCCUUACAUGACCUCUCCUCUGAGCUGUGUGUGGUGAGGCAGGGAAGGAGGGAGGGAGAGAGUGAGGGAGAAAGAGAAAGAGGGAGAAGGAGAGAGACAGAUCUCUUCCUCUUCUCCUAAAGCCACCAAUCUCGUAGCAUUAGGAACCCGCCCUUAUAACCUCAUUUAACCUAAGUUACUUCCUGACUCCAAAUACAGCCAUACAAGGGGUGAGAGCUUCAAGAUAGGAGUUUUGAGGGGACACGUGUUUAGUCCAUAUCACCUCUUUACCUCUCAUCUCCUGACGGUGUCUCCCCCUCUCAUGGCCCAACCCGACAGGAAGCCAGAGGGUGGGGAGCCGAGAUGAUGCUGUCUACGUAGAGCAGCCUCUGACCACAGAGUGGGGAAGAGAAAGCUGUACUAUAGAUGGGAGGUGGGGAAGGGCAGGGAGGCAAACAGAGAGCAAUCAAGACAAGGGAGAAGUGUAGAAAAUGUAGCUGAAGAGAAAAAAAGUUGCUUAUAGAACUGUCCAUGAGGAAAAUGAGAAUAUGCCUUGUUUUAAAACCUCAAAGGACUGAUUCACACUCUUAUUUAGUGGAAAUACAUCAAGAGACUGCAAGCUUAACUUUCUCACAAACACAUACAUCUAAAAAUAGCCUUUUGGAAUCUAAUUUAUUGGUAAGCAAAGGAUUGCAGCAUUUGACUUACAAUUAAGGUGUCACCUCCAAGUUAAUCAUAGGUCCAUGGUUUGAAUAGCUUAGAUUCUCAACUUUCCAGAACAUUUAGUAAGCGCUUGUGAAAAAGCUAAGAGCUCUGAAGGAUAGAGGGGUUUAUAGAAGAUGUGAGACUGGUACCCUAAUGCCUUCGUCAGGAUCAGUAUGGAGCAGACCCUCAGGACUGCAGAAGCAAGAUCAAUUCCUUUUGACAGGAAUGACCAGUCAAAGACAUGAUGCAAAAGGCAGCAUUUAAGAUUCAAGAGCCACAUGCACAGGUUUGUACUAUACUGCAUAAUGCUGGGAUUUGGACUUCUACAGAACCCAUCACGCAAACAGUGAACAUAGUGCCCAGGUGCUUGGUUUGGAAGGACUGAGUAAGGAUGUGUACAAGCAUUCAUCAAAUGAACUAUUGAACAUAUUGCUUUUAAAACCUGGGUCCAGACGUUGGGAGCAAUCCGGUGGCCUGAUGCAGACUGAGCUUAAUAGAAUAUUUUGUAUAGAAUGUGUGGCACUUGCCUUGGAUGAAUCUAUGUGGUUGGAUCACCUAAAGCGAUACUCAUUGAGCUUACAAUACAUGUCAUAAACAUGCUUCUUUAUAAACGUUUGUUUCAUAAAUGUUGGGCUGUGUGUUCUGAGGCUUGCGUUCAUUACGACUUAGUAGCAGAGUUGUAGAGGCGCUAACCCUCACCCACCUCUAAUCCUCAGGAACAACCAUUAUCUACUAAACUUAACUAAGAUAUUUGUUCAAGGUGGGCGUUAUCUGUCAUCACCCAAGAGGAUAAUACACUGUAAAUGUCAUAGCAAGUUGGUGAUUUAAGUCACUCAAAA